GCGGAUGUGGUGGAAUUGGCAGACACGCUGGAUUUAGGUUCCAGUGCCCACAAGCGUGCAGGUUCGAGUCCUGUCAUCCGCACCA
rnacentral:tRNA from 1 species